rnacentral:rRNA from 1 species
UCCAGACUCCUACGGGAGGCAGCAGCGAGGAAUAUUGGUCAAUGGGCGAGAGCCUGAACCAGCCAAGUCGCGUGAAGGAUGACGGCCCUACGGGUUGUAAACUUCUUUUGUCAGGGAGCAAUUGGGUCCACGCGUGGGCUUAGCGAGAGUACCUGAAGAAAAAGCAUCGGCUAACUCCGUGCCAGCAGCCGCGGUAAUACGGAGGAUGCGAGCGUUAUCCGGAUUUAUUGGGUUUAAAGGGUGCGUAGGCGGGAUGCCAAGUCAGCGGUCAAAUGUCGGGGCUCAACCCCGGCCUGCCGUUGAAACUGGCGGCCUCGAGUGGGCGAGAAGUAUGCGGAAUGCGUGGUGUAGCGGUGAAAUGCAUAGAUAUCACGCAGAACUCCGAUUGCGAAGGCAGCAUACCGGCGCCCUACUGACGCUGAGGCACGAAAGCGUGGGUAUCGAACAGGAUUAGAUACCCUUA